GACGAACGCUGGCGGCGUGCUUAACACAUGCAAGUCGAACGGGCCUGUCUUCUUUUUUGGGGGUGGGUUGAGUGGCGAACGGGUGAGUAUCACGUGAGUAACCUGCCCUUCGGUCCUGGAUAACCGCUUGAAAGGGCGGCUAAUACGGGGUGGUCCGGUUGGUCCGCAUGGGCUGGUCGGGAUAGAUUCACUGUUUUUGGUGUUUCGGCGGGGGAUGGGCUCGCGGCCUAUCAGCUUGUUGGUGGGGUGAUGGCCUACCAAGGCGGUGACGGGUAGCCGGCCGGAGAGGGGGGGCGGCCACACUGGGACUGAGAUACGGCCCAGACUCCUGCGGGAGGCAGCAGUGGGGGGUAUUGCACAAUGGGCGGAAGCCUGAUGCAGCGACGUCGCGUGAGGGAUGGAGGCCUUCGGGUUGUGAACCUCUGUUUCCGGUGGUGAAGGCCCUGUCCGUGUGGUGGGGUUGACGGUAGCCGGGGAUGAAGCGCCGGCUAACUACGUG
rnacentral:rRNA from 1 species